ACUACGGACUAAACUCAGAUGUAUUUACAAAGAUUGAAUGAUUUGUUUUACAGUUUUCUUUCGUUUUCCACCAUCUGCAAUUCAUUUUAACUUCUUUAUUGCAGCUUUUGAGUCGCUCCUCUAUUUCAACGUGGGACCUUGUGGGAUUAUAAAUAUCAUACGCGCUAUGGAACUGGGGCAGAACCAAGGUUUAAGUGCACCUGAGGGAAUGAUAAAGCGUUGAGAUGGAAGAUGGAUGACCAACAAUAAGACAAGAAGAAGAGAGAGAGAGGGGGUAUAACACGCUGCAAAGGCCCGCAGGUUGGACUCAAACUCACGGCUGCUGCUACAAGGACUCAGCUCUACCAGAUGAGCUCCCAAACACUGAUAUUGUAAUUGUAGACGUGGAACCAAAUGAAGGAAGUGAGAGCGAAACAUGGGCAAAUGUAUCAAAAUCAUCAGUCACACAAACACAGCUUCAUAACCACACGCUCACUCUCCAACCACACACACACACACACACACACACACACACACACACACACACACACACACUUACCAGUAGAAGGCAACUUUAUCGCCGAGCUUCCUCUCGUGGACGUUGCGGUCGAGGAGGUUGUAGCAGAUGUUGGUGGAGGCUCCUUCCAUACACUUGACGAAUAUUUCUCCUUUGGUCACGUCGAAGUUGUAGUCGAGGAACUGACCCGAGUGUUUGGUCUUCCAGAAGAAA